GGACAGAAAGACCCUAUGAAGCUUUACUGUAUCUUGGAAUUGGGUUUGGGCCUUGCUUGCGCAGGAUAGGUGGGAGGCUUUGAAGAUAUUCUUGCGGGAAUAUUGGAGCCAAUGGUGAGAUACCACUCUAGCAUGGCUAAAAUUCUAACUUUGAACCGUUAUCCGGUCGAAGAACAGUUUCAGGUGGGCAGUUUGACUGGGGC
rnacentral:rRNA from 1 species